rnacentral:rRNA from 1 species
AAUCAACGCUGGCGGCGUGCCUAACACAUGCAAGUCGAACGAGAAAGUGGAGCAAUCCAUGAGUACAGUGGCGUACGGGUGAGUAACACGUGACUAACCUACCCUCGAGUGGGGAAUAACCUCGGGAAACCGGGGCUAACACCGCAUAAUAUCUACGGAUCAAAUGCGAAAGCAGCUUGAGGAGGGGGUCGCGGCCGAUUAGCUAGUUGGUGAGGUAAUGGCUCACCAAGGCAAUGAUCGGUAGCCGGCCUGAGAGGGCGCACGGCCACACUGGAACUGAAACACGGUCCAGACUCCUACGGGAGGCAGCAGUGGGGAAUUUUGCGCAAUGGGGGAAACCCGUNACGCAGCAACGCCGCGUGGAGGAUGAAGCCCCUUCGGGUGUAAACUCCUUUCGAUCGGGACGAUUAUGACGGGUACCGGAUGAAGAAGC